rnacentral:lncRNA from 1 species
AAAGAUAAAAAUUAAAAAAAAAUUAAAAAAAAAACUGUGUAAAUAACACCACUUAUCAUAAAUUGAUAUAAUUUUAAUAUUUUAUAUUGUAAGUUAAAAAUUAAAACAUCGUAACCCCUUUGAAAAUCACCCUAGAGUGUGAAAUAUAGUUAACCUUGAAUUAAAUCAUUUUCUGUUCUUCUAUUAAAUCUCCUCUGCCCAUGACAUCUCUCCAAUUUCAGCCAUGGAAUUUGUGUUCGUUAAUAAUGUGACAAUCAGUCAUCAAUUUUGAUGUUUGAAAACCAAGGUCUAAAAUAUUGAUAUUAUCCUGAUAUUUUUAUCGAAAUUUCCGUGUUUUUGGACUACUGAUAUUUCCGAUAUCAUCGAUAUUUUAGACCUUAAUAGGAACUCUAUAUGGUACUAAGUCACUCAUGUAUCUUACCAUGCAAUGUAUAAAGUGUAAAAUAUUGUACUAAUUCAUUAUAUAUAAAUGAUUAUGGUGUGUUUAAACUUAUUUCAUUAAUUACUACAUAUUUUCUACACUCACAAUGUUUGCCAGCUCGCUAUAUAAUCAACUUAAAUCAGUUAAAUAUCAUACAAUACAUUUCCUUCCAAUUUUUUGUGAUAAACUAAUAGAUAAUUGACUAAAUAAACAUCGUGCAAAGUUUCAAUAAAAAUUUCCAAGUUUUUCUUACAAUUUUCGUGGUUUUUAUUCAAUUUUUAUCGAUAUCGAUAAUAUCCCGAUAUUUCCAUCGAAAUUUUCAUGUUUUUAGACUGCUGAUAUUUCUGAUAUUAUCGAUAUUUUAUACUGAAAACUAAUAUGAUUCUAACAGUGAGUAUAAUACAAUAUGCUGAAUAAAGGACUUUAUGAAAGUGACGACGGAAAGGACUAAAUUAACCUGCAACAUAUAGUCAAGUUAAAGGACGUAUAUUUAUGAGUCACAUAUAAGUCCAAAAACCAUCGUUUCAAACUAUCUUUCUACAAAUUAAGACUUGCACAAGUUGGUAGUCCUAUGAUAAAUUAGAUUAAUAUGUUUAACAAAAGAAGUAUUAUCUGAUUUUACCAAUCUGAACGGAUACUAAUUAGGAUCAUAGUUUAAAAUAUUUAUAAUAUCCUAAUAUUUUCAUCGAAAUUUCUUUUUUUUUGGACUACCGAUAUUUCCGAUAUCAUCGAUAUUUUAGACCUUGUUAAGUCACUCAUGUAUCUUACCAUGCAAUGUAUAAAGUGUAAAAUAUUGUACUAAUUCAUUAUAUAUAAAUGAUUAUGGUAUGUUUAAACUUCUUUCAUUAAUUACUACAUAUUUUCUACACUCACAACGUUUGCCAGCUCGCUAUAUAAUCAACUUAAAUCAGUUAUAUCUAUCAUGCAAUGCAUUUCCUUCCAAUUUUUUGUGAUAAACUAAUAGAUAAUUGACUAAAUAAACAUCAUGCAAAGUUUCAAUAAAAAUUUCCAAGUUUUUCUUACAAUUUCCGUGGGUUUUAUUCAAUUUUUAUCGAUAUCGAUAAUAUCCCAAUAUUUUCAUCGAAAUUUCCGUGUUUUUGGACUACCGAUAUUUCUGAUAUCAUCGAUAUUUUAUACCUUAAUUAGGAUGCAAAUGCGAUAGACAAAGAGAGAGGGAGGAUGGGGGAGAAAAAAAAAAGGAAAACUAAUGAAAAUGGCUUGAAAACUUUAAGUUUUAAUGAUAAGGACAAAAUAAAGGGUAAAGUGAAUAGUACCAUGAUUGACUUUUUAGUGUAAAAAUAUGGUUUUUCGUUAAAGUGAACAGUACCAGAUGCUUUUCAUUAAAGUUCCCAAUUAAAAAAGAUAAGGGAAAAAAGAAAGAUAACGGGGCUUUGAAAGAGUGUGUGCAUGUAACGUAUAAAAAACUUCAUGAGAGCAAAAGCCCAAAGUGUUCACACAUAAAUAGACCACGGUCAAGAGUCAAGAGUGCCAUGUAAGCACAUCACGCAACGUUCACAGUGUGAACAUGAAACCAUUAGAUUAAAACAACAGUAAGUAAACCACACAAAAUUAGAAGGGAACAAAUUGACAAGGCCCUACAACUCAAUUGCAUACGCAAAUGAAAGUGACUAAACAAUUUCACGUUGCAAUUUUUUUUUUGAUGGAAAAGAUAAUCAAAGAUAAUCCUUGAGUAAAAACAAUUUGAGGCAAUAACCAUAUCUAGUAUAAUGAAAAUUUUGUACAUGGUGACAUGAGAAAUUUUGAAAAGUAGUCAAAUUGUGGGCACGCAGAAGGUUUUUAGACCAAUGAUCAAAUUUUUAGAAUUUAACCACGCGAAGGGGAUUCGAAGUGAGUUCGAGCAUAUGUCCGAGGAGGCCUCCAGCGGUUAUAUUUCUAAAUCUUGACAGUAAUAGCAAAUUAAACUAUGUCUAUAUGUAUGUUGAAGGGCCCGUGCAUGAGUGUCAACUGUCGAGCGGCAACAAACAAGGCAGACUGUCUAAUUUUAAGAAAGCUAGACAUGUCACUCACCUUAGAUAGCUGUAGUAAUUGCAGACUUUGAUCAACAUCUAGCAUAAUAAUCCAACUGAUGAAGCAGGUCUUGCAUUUGGCAAUUCAGAAUUCAUAUAAGAUCGAACUCCUUAUUUAUUUGUUUUUUUUUAAGUGUUUUUCUCGACCUAAACAUGAUAAAUUUUACUAAAUUCAUGGUUUUUCCAAACUUGGGUUUCUGGGUUGUUUUAGUUCUAAUAUAUCAGAACUUUUCUCUCAUUUCCUCAUAUAUUUUUUUUCUUUAAAUUGUGUAUAUGGACCCUGUGAAUCUCUUAGAUUUUUGUUUUAAGGAAGAAUCUCUCUUAAGAUUUUUUAUGCACAUUUUAUUAACCAAAUCCGAAUCAGCGACACAAAAGCCAAAGUGCGCACACUCAUUCAUUCUAUGAAAAAACAGUAACAUUGA